rnacentral:rRNA from 1 species
GAUGAACGCUGGCGGCGUGCCUAAUACAUGCAAGUCGAGCGAACGGACGAGAAGCUUGCUUCUCUGAUGUUAGCGGCGGGCGGGUGAGUAACACGUGGAUAACCUACCUAUAAGACUGGGAUAACUUCGGGAAACCGGAGCUAAUACCGGAUAAUAUUUUGAACCGCAUGGUUCAAAAGUGAAAGACGGUCUUGCUGUCACUUAUAGAUGGAUCCGCGCUGCAUUAGCUAGUUGGUGAGGUAACGGCUUACCAAGGCAACGAUGCAUAGCCGACCUGAGAGGGUGAUCGGCCACACUGGAACUGAGACACGGUCCAGACUCCUACGGGAGGCAGCAGUAGGGAAUCUUCCGCAAUGGGCGAAAGCCUGACGGAGCAACGCCGCGUGAGUGAUGAAGGUCUUCGGAUCGUAAAACUCUGUUAUUAGGGAAGAACAUAUGUGUAAGUAACUGUGCACAUCUUGACGGUACCUAAUCAGAAAGCCACGGCUAACUACGUG